UUGCCUCUCUGAUGUGAGCGGCGGACGGGGGAGUUCACGUGGGUACCCUACCUAUAAGACUGGGAUAACUUCGUGAAACCGGAGCUAAUACCGGAUAAUAUUUAUCUUCGCAUGAAGCAAUAGUGAAAGACGGUUCUGCUGUCACUUAUAGAUGGACCCGCGGUGUAUUAGCUAGUUGGUGAGGUAACGGCUCACCAAGGCAACGAUACAUAGCCGACCUGAGAGGGUGAUCGGCCACACUGGGACUGACACACGGCCCAGACUCCUACGGGAGGCAACAGUAGGGAAUCUUCCGCAAUGGACGAAAGUCUGACGGAGCAACGCCGCGCGAGUGAAGAAGGUUUUCGGAUCGUAAAACUCUGUUGUAAGGGAAGAACAAGUACGUUAGUUACUGAACGUACCUUGACGGUACCUUACCAGAAAGCCUCGUCUAUCUACGUGCCAGCAGCCGCGGUAAUACGUAGGUGUUAAGCGUUAUUCGGAAUUAUUGGGCGUAAAGCGCGCGUAUGCGGUCUCUUAAGUCUGAUGUGAAACCCCCCGGCUCAACCGGGGAGGGUCAUUGUAAACUGGGAGACUUGAGUGCAUAUGAGGAUAGUGGAUUUCCAUGUGUAGCGGUGAAAUGCGCAUAGAUAUGGAGGAACACCAGUGGCGAAGGCGGCUCUCUGGUCUGUAACUGACGCUGAGGUGCUAAAGCGUGGGGAUCAAACUGGAUUAUAUACCCUGGUAGUCCACGCCGUAACGAUGAGUGCUAGUGUUGGGGGGGUUUCCCCCCCCUCAGUG
rnacentral:rRNA from 1 species